rnacentral:lncRNA from 1 species
UAUUAUUUUUGUUAUUCACAUAUUUUCAAUUAUUAUUAUUGUUUUUUGUCUUUUUUGGUUGUUAGGUUUGGUUUUAACUGUUUGUAACUGUCCUUUAAAUAUUGUCCAGUGAAAUAAUGAAUUGUAAAUUUAACAAAUUAGUUGUCUAUCUUAACAUUUUUUAAUUAGAGAUUGAUUUUAAGACACCUUUGUCAUAUAUAUAGGUAAUAUGUUGUUUUGUAUAUUGGAAAAGUAUAUUAAUCAGUGGAGAAAAAUAAUAGCAGAGGUUAACGAUUUCAUAAGAGAGACAAGCAGUUCUAAUAGUUGUUGUAGUCAGGAAGAUAACUGUUUUUAUCUGAUACUUGUCUUGAAAAAGGGGACAAUGAAGAUUCUGUAUCUAUCACAUCAUCCAGAAGUGAUUCACUCAGAUUGUAUUCUAGUUCUUCAGAAUCAAUUUCUGACAUUGAAGAAGAAAUUAGUAGUCUACCUACUUUGAAUGAACAGCUUUCAUCAUGGGCUACUAGAAACAAAUGUAGGCAAGACUGUGUUAAUGAGAUUUUGAAUAUUUUAAAACAAAAUGGUCACUCUACCCUUCCCAAAGAUUAUCGCACUCUUCUUUAAACUCCAAAAUCUACAUCAUGGGUUGAGAAAUGCGGUGGUACAUAUGCUUACUUUGGGAUUGAAAGUGGAACUAUGAAAACAAUUUUUAACAAUAUUUUAUUUUUAAACCAAAAUAAAGACAUUGAUUUAAUAAUUAAUAUUGAUGAUCUUUCCCUUUUUAAGUCUUCAAAUUUACAGAUGUGGCCUAUUUUAGCUAAAUUUGAUAAGUAUGAUGUAUUUAUUGUGGCACUUUGUUGUGGAAGCUCAAAGCCGACAUCUUUAAAUGACUAUUUGCAUGAUUUUAAAAUGGAAGUUAUUAAUCUUUUACAAAAUGGAUUUAAUUUUAACGAUAAAAAAAUAAAAGCAUUUCUUAAGUCAAUUGUAAAUCAUUCGGCAUACUAUUCAUACGAAAGAUGCGUGAUAAAAGGAUCUUGGAGUGGGAGAACUGUUUUUAAUUCUAAUGCUAUACACAAGAUUCGUGCAAAUCUGAAAUUUUUUGCCAUUGGUUAUCCGGAUCAUCAGAAAGCCUCAACACUUUUGAUAGAUUGUGGCGUAAACUGUGCAACAGAUUUUUUUCUUGACUACAUGCAUUUGAUAUGCUUGGGGGUUGUGAAGCGCGUAAUAAAGUUUUUUAAAAGUGGUCCUUGACAUAGUAAAUUAUAAUUUGGGGAAAUAUCGCAGAUAUCUAAAAAACUGAGCUACGUGGGCAUCUACCAAAAGAGUUUGCUCGCCAACCUAGGAAUUGUUAGAAAUGGAUAGAUGGAAAGCUACAGAAAACAGACAAUUUCUUCUCUAUACUGGUCCUUUAAUUUUAAAAGAUAUUAUAUCACCAUCCAUUUAUAAGCAUUUUCUUUCUCUCAGCAUUGGAAUAAGUAAAAUGUUGGAUUCAAAUAACGAAAGAAGAUCAAAGCAUCUUGAUUACAGUAAGAAGUUGUCAAAUUAUUUUGUUAGUAAUGCUUCUUUAAUAUAUGGAGAUACAUUUGUUGUUUACAAUGUUCAUGGGCGCAUUUAUUUGAAUAAAGAUGUUAGCAACUUCAAUUGUUCUCUCAAUGAUGUGUUAUGUUUUAAAUUUUAAAACUACAUGGAAAAACUCGAAGGUUAUGUUAGAAAAGCUAGCAAUCCUGUUGUGCAAGUGACAAAUAGACUAGCAGAAUUUGAUAAAAUAAAAGAUAAAUGCUAUUUUAAACAGAGGUUCUUCACUACAAUCUCAACUAGAUCAAAGGAUAAUUGUUUUCUGUUGACAAACAAAAACGUUGCUUUUAUUAGAGAAAUAAAAAAUUGUGGAAAAUAUGUAUGUGAUGUGGUAAAAAUUUGUGAUAUAGAUUAUAUAUUUACCUCACCAGCAGAAUAAAAAAUAUUUCAGAUUGGUGUUGCUCAUAGUUUUACUAGAACAAUAAGAAGAAUUGUGGAAAGACAUGAACUUUAAAGAAAAGUUGUGUCACUUCCAUACAAAAGAGGUUAUGGUCUAUUCCCAAUGCUUCAUGAUGCUGAAUAGUAAUAGCGCAAUGGUUUAUCUUUGGUACAUAGCUCAAACUAAUAAAUAAUUUAUCAACAGUUUAUAGUUUAAAAUGUUCAAAUUCUUUUUUCUUUUUUUUUUGAUUCUAUGUAAAAUUUAUAAUUUUUUUCUGGAACUGCAAAAAAUGGAUGCGUGCAGUUUGGUUAGAGGGAAGCACCGAGAAAGAGGGAGUCAUACCGAGCGCUUGGGUAGUUGAAAACCUUUUAUUAGAGAGACCAACCAACAAAUGAUUGGCUAAAAUUUAAGUUGUUGAAAAUCAAAUUUUCAUCAGAAAAAAGAUCUGUUGUAAAAACUCCUUCCCCGCCACCUUUGAAAAAAAAUCGGUCACAUAAAAAAAGGAUAAUUAUACAAAAUAAAAAUAACAAGAGAGACUUAUGUUCACCAACAUCUUCACCUGAUAUGAUUUUGUCCAGUAGAGAUAAUACUCUGUGUCAGAAAAGUUAACUUAAUUCUAAUUAAAUAUUUUAUAUUUGUCAUUUAUCGAUUCUUAUAACUGAUUAUAUAUUAUAUAUUUAUUUUAUCAUUAGGGUUCCAAAAAUCAACACACUCAAAGAAUAUAUCAGGUACUUCUGGUUUGCAAAGUAAAAAGAGGUAUUCUAGGUCACCACCAAAUUGCAGUGAAUCAUUUUCUUCUUCAGCUGAUCUGGCAAUGUCAAGUGUAGGUGGCAGAAAGGAGUAUCCAAUGUCAGAAAAAGGGUUCCAGAAAAAAGUUGUCUUCUUUUUGAAAGAAAUGACCAAAAAUCAGAAGCAAGUGCCAGAUUAGAGUUAGAUGUAGAAUUGAUUCAGCGCCAAAAUAUGGCAGAGUUUCAAGCUUUAGAGGAAGAAUUAUUAGACAUUGAGUUUAAACAAAAAUUUUUUAGUAAUUGUUUUAUUUACAACAAAGUUUUCCAUAUGGUGGAAUCUUCAACACAAAAUUCACCAAGUUUAAUAAUAAGUUAGAAGAAUUGCUAAAGUUGGUGGUGUGAAUGUAAAAGAAAACAUUGCAAACGUUUUAAACAUAUUUUGUCACUGUCAAAUGCUGAUGAAUAAUCAUCUGAUGAGUGAUUUCAAUAUGAAGGGUAAGCAUGGAAAGCAACCCUUUGGUGUUACUUGCCUUUAUAAAAUUAUAAAAACAAAUGCUCUUAAUUUAAACAAUUGCAAUCAGAAGGAUGUCGACGAUGCUAUUUCAAAGUACCUUAAGCAUGCGCCAAAGAGAAAAGAUGGACGUAAAUUCACCGAAAAAAAUGUUUUAUAACGAUAUUUUGAAAUGUUUAUGUAACGUAUUUGUUUAUAAAUGUAUUAAAAUACAGUUAUAUUUUUAAUCAGUAUAUAUUUCUUUAAAUUUAUUUUAUUUUUAGUAUGGUUUGUUGUUAAUAUAACUCCAAAGUAUAGUUUAAAAUAGAGAUAUCAUAACGACUUAUAAG